GACGUAGGGGGGCAAGCGUUGUUCGGAAUUAUUGGGCGUAAAGCGCUCGUAGGCGGGACUGGAAGUCCGUGUUGAAAGACCUCGGCUCAACUGAGGGACCGGCUCGGAUACUCUAGUUCUUGAGGCAAUCAGAGGGUGAUGGAAUUCCCGGUGUAGCGGUGAAAUGCGUAGAGACCCGGAGGAACACCAGUGGCGAAGGCGGCGUCCUGGCCUGCGACUGACGCUGUGGCGCGAAAGCUAGGGGAGCGAACGGG
rnacentral:rRNA from 1 species